rnacentral:rRNA from 1 species
GUUAAGCGACUAAGCGUACACGGUGGAUGCCCUGGCAGUCAGAGGCGAUGAAGGACGUGCUAAUCUGCGAUAAGCGUCGGUGAGGUGAUAUGAACCGUUAUAACCGGCGAUUUCCGAAUGGGGAAACCCAGUGUGUUUCGACACACUAUCAUUAACUGAAUCCAUAGGUUAAUGAGGCGAACCGGGGGAACUGAAACAUCUAAGUACCCCGAGGAAAAGAAAUCAACCGAGAUUCCCCCAGUAGCGGCGAGCGAACGGGGAGGAGCCCAGAGCCUGAAUCAGUGUGUGUGUUAGUGGAAGCGUCUGGAAAGGCGCGCGAUACAGGGUGACAGCCCCGUACACAAAAAUGCACAUGCUGUGAGCUCGAUGAGUAGGGCGGGACACGUGGUAUCCUGUCUGAAUAUGGGGGGACCAUCCUCCAAGGCUAAAUACUCCUGACUGACCGAUAGUGAACCAGUACCGUGAGGGAAAGGCGAAAAGAACCCCGGCGAGGGGAGUGAAAAAGAACCUGAAACCGUGUACGUACAAGCAGUGGGAGCCUCUUAAUGGGGUGACUGCGUACCUUUUGUAUAAUGGGUCAGCGACUUAUAUUCUGUAGCAAGGUUAACCGAAUAGGGGAGCCGAAGGGAAACCGAGUCUUAACUGGGCGUUAAGUUGCAGGGUAUAGACCCGAAACCCGGUGAUCUAGCCAUGGGCAGGUUGAAGGUUGGGUAACACUAACUGGAGGACCGAACCGACUAAUGUUGAAAAAUUAGCGGAUGACUUGUGGCUGGGGGUGAAAGGCCAAUCAAACCGGGAGAUAGCUGGUUCUCCCCGAAAGCUAUUUAGGUAGCGCCUCGUGAAUUCAUCUCCGGGGGUAGAGCACU